ACAGAGGUGGCAAGCGUUGUUCGGAAUUACUGGGCGUAAAGGGCGCGUAGGCGGUCGAUUAAGUCCCGUGUGAAAUCCCUCGGCUCAACUGAGGAACUGCACGGGAAACUGGUUGACUUGAGUUCGGGAGAGGGAAGCGGAAUUCCGGGUGUAGCGGUGAAAUGCGUAGAUAUCCGGAGGAACACCGGUGGCGAAGGCGGCUUCCUGGACCGAUACUGACGCUGAGGCGCGAAAGCUAGGGGAGCAAACGGGAUUAGAUACCCCGGUAGUCCUAGCUGUAAACGAUGAGUGCUGGGUGUAGGGGGUAUUAACCCCUCCUGUGCCGAAGCUAACGCAUUAAGCACUCCGCCUGGGGAGUACGGUCGCAAGGCUG
rnacentral:rRNA from 1 species